rnacentral:rRNA from 1 species
UACAGAGGGUGCAAACGUUGUUCGGAAUUACUGGGCGUAAAGCGCGUGUAGGCGGCUAAGUAAGUCGGGCGUGAAAUCCCACGGCUCAACCGUGGAAGUGCACUCGAAACUGCAUAGCUAGAGUCCUGGAGAGGAAGGUGGAAUGCUUGGUGUAGAGGUGAAAUUCGUAGAUAUCAAGCGGAACACCGGUGGCGAAGGCGGGUCUCUGGGCCGAAACUGACGCUGAGGAGCGAAAGCGUGGGGAGCGAACAGG